rnacentral:rRNA from 1 species
CCAAGCUAUAGAGUUUGAUCCUGGCUCAGAUUGAACGCUGGCGACGUGCUUAACACAUGCAAGUCGUGCGAGAAAGUAGACUUCGGUCUAUGAGUAGAGCGGCGCACGGGUGAGUAACGCGUGGAUGAUCUACCCUUGAGUUCGGGAUAACGGUGCGAAAGCGCCGCUAAUACCGUAUAACAAUCCAUUUCAUCGUGGGUUCAAAGCAGGCCUCUUCAUGAAAGCUUGCGCUUGGGGAUGAGUCCGCGUCCCAUUAGCUUGUUGGCGGGGUAACGGCCCACCAAGGCUACGAUGGGUAGCUGGUCUGAGAGGAUGAUCAGCCACACUGGAACUGAAACACGGUCCAGACUCCUACGGGAGGCAGCAGUGGGGAAUAUUGCGCAAUGGGGGAAACCCUGACGCAGCGACGUCGUGUGAGGGAAGAAGGCCUUCGGG